UCUCUUUCUCUCAUUAAAUGCAAGACAAAUUCUUACACCCUCUACCUCACUAAAUUCUAUGAUCAUUAAAUGUAGUUCAAACUAAGUUUGCAUUGAAUACUUCAUCAUUAUCAUCAAGUAAUCAUCAUACCAAAAGACCAAAUCUUCAAGUGCAAGAAAUAAUUGAUUUUCAGCUCAAUUUCGGGUUCAAGCUUCGUUUGGAGAAUUGGUCGUGGACUUUGAACGUUCGUGACAUAGUAACUCGACGAGUACUUACACUUAAUUAUAACUUGACGAUAUAAAGCAAAGGUGAACAGGUGAAUCAAAGACGUGAUGGAUGAUGAUUGAUUGUU